AUAAGAAUUAUUAAAAAUAUGAACUUAUUAAUAAAAUUAUGCUGUUAUCCCUAAGGUAAUUUAAUUUUUUAAUCAAUAAAAUAAGAUCAAAUAAACAUAAAUUAAUGAUUUUUAAAUAAAAAGUUAAAUAAAUUUAAUUAUCUCCCCAACAAAAUAAUUUUAAAUUAUAUAAUAAAUUUUUAACAAUAAUAUAUUAAAAUAAAUUUUAUAAAAUUCUAUAGGGUCUUCUCGUCCCUUUUUUUGAUUUCAGCUUUUUAACUAAAAUAUAAAAUUCAAAUUUUUAAAUUAAAAAAGACUUUAUCUCAUUAAACCAUUCAUUCCAGAUUUCAAUUAAAAAU
rnacentral:rRNA from 1 species